rnacentral:rRNA from 1 species
GACGAACGCUGGCGGCGUGCCUAAUACAUGCAAGUAGAACGCUGAAGGAGGAGCUUGCUUCUCUGGAUGAGUUGCGAACGGGUGAGUAACGCGUAGGUAACCUGCCUGGUAGCGGGGGAUAACUAUUGGAAACGAUAGCUAAUACCGCAUAAGAGUAGAUGUUGCAUGACAUUUGCUUAAAAGGUGCAAUUGCAUCACUACCAGAUGGACCUGCGUUGUAUUAGCUAGUUGGUGAGGUAACGGCUCACCAAGGCAACGAUACAUAGCCGACCUGAGAGGGUGAUCGGCCACACUGGGACUGAGACACGGCCCAGACUCCUACGGGAGGCAGCAGUAGGGAAUCUUCGGCAAUGGACGGAAGUCUGGCCGAGCAACGCCGCGUGAGUGAAGAAGGUUUUCGGAUCGUAAAGCUCUGUUGUAAGAGAAGAACGAGUGUGAGAGUGGAAAGUUCACACUGUGACGGUAUCUUACCAGAAAGGGACGGCUAACUACGUG